rnacentral:rRNA from 1 species
UACAGAGGGUGCGAGCGUUGUUCGGAAUUAUUGGGCGUAAAGGGCGCGUAGGCGGUGCGGUAAGUCACCUGUGAAAUCUCCUGGCUCAACUGGGAGCUUGCAGGCGAAACUGCCGUGCUGGAGUGUGGGAGAGGUGCGUGGAAUUCCCGGUGUAGCGGUGAAAUGCGUAGAUAUCGGAAGGAACGUCAAUGGCGAAGGCAGCUACCUGGCUUGAUACUGACGCUGAGGCACGAAAGCGUGGGGAGCGAACAGG